rnacentral:rRNA from 1 species
AGUCACGAGUUUGAUCCUGGCUCAGAUUGAACGCUGGCGGCAGGCUAACACAUGCAAGUCAGGGGUAGAGUUCUUCGGGACUUGAGACCGGCGCACGGGUGCGUAACGCGUAUGCAAUCUACCUUAUACAGGGGAAUAGCCCAGAGAAAUUUGGAUUAAUGCCCCAUAGUGUUAUCGAAUCGCAUGGUUUGAUAACUAAAGUUCCAACGGUAUAAGAUGAGCAUGCGUCCCAUUAGUUAGUUGGUAAGGUAACGGCUUACCAAGACAAUGAUGGGUAGGGGUCCUGAGAGGGAGAUCCCCCACACUGGUACUGAGACACGGACCAGACUCCUACGGGAGGCAGCAGUGAGGAAUAUUGGUCAAUGGGCGCAAGCCUGAACCAGCCAUGCCGCGUGCAGGAAGACGGUCCUAUGGAUUGUAAACUGCUUUUAUACAGGAAGAAACCCUCCCACGUGUGGGAGCUUGACGGUACUGUAGGAAUAAGGAUCGGCUAACUCCGUG